AUUAUUGGGCGUAAAGAGCUUGUAGGCGGCUUGUCGCGUCUGCUGUGAAAACCCGGGGCUUAACCCCGGGCUUGCAGUGGGUACGGGCAGGCUAGAGUGUGGUAGGGGAGACUGGAAUUCCUGGUGUAGCGGUGGAAUGCGCAGAUAUCAGGAGGAACACCGAUGGCGAAGGCAGGUCUCUGGGCCAUUACUGACGCUGAGAAGCGAAAGCGUGGGGAGCGAACAGGAUUAGAUACCCUGGUAGUCCACGCCGUAAACGUUGGGCGCUAGGUGUGGGUCCCAUUCCACGGGGUCCGUGCCGCAGCUAACGCAUUAAGCGCCCCGCCUGGGGAGUACGGCCGCAAGGCUAAAACUCAAAGGAAUUGACGGGGGCCCGCACAAGCGGCGGAGCAUGCGGAUUAAUUCGAUGCAACGCGAAGAACCUUACCAAGGCUUGACAUAUACCGGAAACUCUCAGAGAUGGGGGCCCCGCAAGGUCGGUAUACAGGUGGUGCAUGGUUGUCGUCAGCUCGUGUCGCGAGAUGUUGGGUUAAGUCCCGCAACGAGCGCAACCCUCGUUCUAUGUUGCCAGCACGUGAUGGUGGGGACUCAUAGGAGACUGCCGGGGUCAACUCGGAGGAAGGUGGGGAUGACGUCAAAUCAUCAUGCCCCUUACGUCUUGGGCUUCACGCAUGCUACAAUGGCCGGUACAGAGGGCUGCGAAACCGUGAGGUGGAGCGAAUCCCUUAAAGCUGGUCUCAGUUCGGAUUGGGGUCUGCAACUCGACCCCAUGAAGUCGGAGUCGCUAGUAAUCGCAGAUCAGCAACG
rnacentral:rRNA from 1 species